CAGGCAGGGCCUGGAGCUGCUCCACGUGUGUCCCAGCACGUGGGACAACCUGGGGUUUGGUCCUCUGGUGCUUCUCCAAGUGUGUCCCAGCCUGUGGGAGAACCUGGGCUUUGUUCCUCUUAGGAAUUUCAGUCUGGUGCUUCUCCACGUGUGUCCCAGCACGUGGGAGAACCAGGGCUUUGUUCCUCUGGAGCUGCUCCAGGUGUGUCCCAGCUCUUUGGAAAAGCUGGGAUUUGUUCCUCUGAGAAAUUUCAGCCUGGUGCUUCUCCAAGUGUGUUCCCACAUGUGGGAGAACCUGGGGUUCCUCUGAGGAAUUUCAGCCUGGUGCUUCUCCAAGUGUGUUUGAGAGCCUGGGCUUUGUUCCUCUGAGGAAUUCCAGUGUUGUGUGAACUCUGUAGCUUGUCUUGCUACAUUGUCACCUGAAUGGCAACCAUGGACAUUUACAGUGAUACGAUUUUUCUAGCAGAUUAUUUCAAGCCUUGUCCUCUAGUCCUGGAGCUCAGCAGCUCUGAGAACCACUCAGUUCUUUCAGUUGCCCUCAGUUCUUUCAGAACAUCCAUCACAAAAGUAUCAUGCAGUUUGGCUCCACAGGGGUGAGUGUUUAGCUUUGGAAUUGGUUAAUUUUAGUUCCGUUGAGAUUUUGAACCAAAAAAGCUUUAGAGUUAAAUACCUCCAGUUCAGCACAAAUAAUGCAUUAAAGAAGUAAAUUGAUACCAUCUUAAGACCAGGUGCUUUUCUGGCUUUAAUCCCAGCUCAGGUGUAGGCAUCAGAUGAUUAUAAA